GAUGAACGCUGGCGGCGUGCCUAAUACAUGCAAGUCGAACGCAUAGCGAAAGGUGCUUGCACCUUUCAAGUGAGUGGCGAACGGGUGAGUAACACGUGGACAACCUGCCUCAAGGCUGGGGAUAACAUUUGGAAACAGAUUCUAAUACCGAAUAAAACUUAGUGUCGCAUGACACAAAGUUAAAAGGCGCUUCGGCGUCACCUAGAGAUGGAUCCGCGGUGCAUUAGUUAGUUGGUGGGGUAAAGGCCUACCAAGACAAUGAUGCAUAGCCGAGUUGAGAGACUGAUCGGCCACAUUGGGACUGAGACACGGCCCAAACUCCUACGGGAGGCUGCAGUAGGGAAUCUUCCACAAUGGGCGAAAGCCUGAUGGAGCAACGCCGCGUGUGUGAUGAAGGCUUUCGGGUCGUAAAGCACUGUUGUAUGGGAAGAACAGCUAGAAUAGGAAAUGAUUUUAGUUUGACGGUACCAGAACAGAAAGGGACGGCUAAAUACGUG
rnacentral:rRNA from 1 species